CUCCCUGUGGCUCAGUUGGUAGAGCACGGUGUUUGCAACCCUGCACGAUCUGGGUAAAUCGUGCAGGGUUGUGGGUUCGAUUCCCACGGGGGGC
rnacentral:tRNA from 1 species